rnacentral:misc_RNA from 1 species
GAAAUGCGAUAAGUAAUGUGAAUUGCAGAAUUCAGUGAAUCAUCGAAUCUUUGAACGCACCUUGCGCUCCUUGGUAUUCCGAGGAGCAUGCCUGUUCGAGUGUCAUGGAAUUCUCAACUCUAUUUGCUUUUGUGAAUAGAGCUUGGAUUUGGAGGUUUAUUGUUGGUACUUGUGAUCGGCUCCUCUUGAAUGCAUUAGCUCGAACCUUUGCGGAUCAGCUAUCGGUGUGAUAAUUGUCUACGCCGUUGCAGUGAAGCAUAUCAAUGGGCUCGGCUUCCAAUCGUCCUUUACUGGACAAUGACUUUGACCUUUGACCUCAAAUCAGGUAGGAUUACCCGCUGAACUUAAGC